rnacentral:rRNA from 1 species
GACGAACGCUGGCGGCGUGCUUAACACAUGCAAGUCACGGGGGCCCAGCAAUGGGCAACCGGCGAACGGGUGCGUAACACGUGAGCGACCUGCCUUUCCGCGGGGGAUAGCCGGCCCAACGGCCGGGUAAUACCGCAUACGCUUUCUUUGGGGCAUCCCUUGGGAAGGAAACCUCCGGGGCGGGAAGAGGGGCUCGCGGCCUAUCAGCUAGUUGGCGGGGUAACGGCUCACCAAGGCGACGACGGGUAGCUGGUCUGAGAGGAUGGCCAGCCACAUUGGGACUGAGAUACGGCCCAGACUCCUACGGGAGGCAGCAGUGGGGAAUUGUUCGCAAUGGGCGCAAGCCUGACGACGCAACGCCGCGUGGAGGAUGAAGACC